rnacentral:rRNA from 1 species
UACGAGGGGUGCAAGCGUUGCUCGGAAUUAUUGGGCGUAAAGGGCAGGUAGGUGGUCUUAUUUGUCUGGGGUGAAAGCCUUGAGCUUAACUCAAGAAGUGCCCCAGAAACGGUAAGACUAGAGUCUUGGAGAGGGUCGUGGAAUUCCCGGUGUAGCGGUGAAAUGCGUAGAGAUCGGGAGGAACACCAGAGGCGAAGGCGGCGACCUGGACAAGUACUGACACCCAACUGCGAAAGCGUGGGGAGCAAACAGG